rnacentral:tRNA from 1 species
GCGGAUGUGGUGAAAUUGGUAGACACGCCAGAUUUAGGUUCUGGUGGCGAAAGCUGUGGGGGUUCAAGUCCCUCCAUCCGCACCA